CACAGGCCAGUGGAAGCCCAGGGCAGGAGGAACCUCACCCGGUCUAGUAGGGAAGGCUUCCUGGAGUAGGUGAGGAAGUAUGCUCCGGAGGACAGAGGAAACGGCAGGAGCAAGAAUCAGGAGAUGACAACUGGAAUAGCAAAAUCCCUGGGUUUUUGAACUCUACAGGGACAGCCACAUUCAUCCCGGCUGUGGACUGAACUGUGUCCCCUUCAGAUGUCAUAUGUUGAAGCCCUUGCCCCCACUGUGACUGCAUUUGGAGACUGGGCCUAUCAGGAGAUAAGAGAUCACGUGGAGACACAGCAAGAAGGCAGCUGUCUGCAGCCAGGAAGACAGCCCUCAGCAGAACCUGCACCUGCCAGCACCAUGAUCUUGGACUCCCAGUCUCCAGAACUAUGAGAAAACAAAGUCUCACUCUGUCACCCAGGCUGGAGUGCAGUGGUGCCGUCAUAGUUCACUGAAGCCUCAACCUCCUGGGCUCAAGUGAUCCUCCCACCUCAACCUCCCAAGUAGCUAGGACCACAGAUUGUGGUUGUUUCAAAGUUUUUGCUAUUAUAAUUGGCCCUACAGGGAACACACUUGGAGCUGAAUCUUUACUCACUUAAUUAUUACCUUGGAAUAAAUUACUACAACUAGAAUUGUUGGUUCAAAAGAGGCUCCCAGCUUCUCCUUAAUGACUGAUAAAAGCUCUGAGUGUACCUGCUUUCCUGAGCGGGGCCCAGCUGCGCUCGGCACCCUCUCUGGUUGCUAUGCAGAUGUGCCAGUGGCGGGCCCAGUCGCCAUGGCCACAGAUGCCCGGGUCUCAGCGAGGAGCAGCGUGGGGAGUGGUUGCCAUGGCAAUGCUACCCAAGCAGGGCCUGGCUCCCCUCCCACUCUGCAGAGGCUGGGCUGUGGGGCUGCGCACCCAGGCAGAGGCUUCUCAAGCUGCAGAAAAGGAGGUGAGCAGAAGUUUGAAUAUUUCAUCCCUGAAUGUGGAGACGCAUGAUAAGAUUAAAAGACAAAGCCGCUCAUCGCAAAACUGAAAAGUUAUGUCCCAUGGCCAGACCAGACAAUGCGCUAAAUGAACAUUUUUGUUAAUAAUAUUGCAAUUAUCUUGUGAUUUGUACAAUUGUGGUGCAUUAUUUGUUUAAAGUACUAACUUAUUAAAGUAACCACUUAAAAUAUAGAUCAAUUUCUU